GGAGAUUUGUAUUACAAGUGGCGGCCAUUUUGUUUGUUUACGGAAACGUGAUGAAAGCUUAGACCUAGAACAAAAUCACGUUAUAUAUACAGUACGGUAUAUAUUUGCGACAUUUAAUUUCCCCACUCACGGAAUACAAUCGACAAACUGGGAACAGAAUAUCAAAUUUCGUCUAGCUUUUGGCGACUUAUGAUACCCCUUUCACCGGCAAACACUGAAUUAUCGGACAACAUGAAAUCAGGGACUAAAUUCACCAGCAUUCAUGAUCCUCGGACCACCCGCCCCCUACGUACAGCCGAUUUAUAAAUGUUGCAUCUUUCAAUCAGUGUCAAUCCCAAGAAGAACCCUGAUCAGCUCCUGGAAAAAUCAGUGUUCUUGCAGUAUUGUCAGUCAAAUCUCGAGGAAAGGAUCCCAGAAGAGGAACAUUUACAUUAUUUCAGACUUUUUUCUUUCCUGUGUAACAAUGCCUCAAACAGCUAACACAUUUUAUAUAGUAUACAAUACAAUGUGUAUUAAUAACAGUCCAGUUAGAGUGCUGUGUUAUGCAGUAAAAAUACUUAAUUCUUGAUGACAUGUUGGUUUUAUGUUUACAUUAAACGGUAGUUAUAAUAUAUAUAUACUAAAGAAACAUAGUGGAUAAUGCCUUGUACAGGAGCAGGAGUAUGACAGUGUAAUAGUACAUGACUGCUGCGUUCAUCCAUGGAAGGAGUCUGUUAUUCGAAAUAAAGCUUUCCAUGAGGACGAAAAA